rnacentral:rRNA from 1 species
CCAAUAGCGUAUAUUAAAGUUGUUGCAGUUAAAAAGCUCGUAGUUGAAUUUCGGGGUCAAUACGUCGGUCGUGCCUCGGUACGCACUAACGUUAUUGAUCCCUCCCUUCUGACGAACCGUGAUGUCAUUAAUUUGGUGUUGCGGGGAAUCAGGACUGUUACCUUGAAAAAAUUAGAGUGUUUAAAGCAGGCAAUCGCUCGAAUACAUUAGCAUGGAAUAAUGAAAUAGGACGUUCGAACCUAUUUUGUUGGUUUCUAGGAUCGACGUAAUGAUUAAUAGGGAUAGUUGGGUGCAUUAGUAUUCAAUUGUCAGAGGUGAAAUUCUUGGAUUUAUUGAAGACUAACUACUGCGAAAGCAUUGGCCAAGGAUGUUUUCAUUAAUCAAGAACGAAAGUUAGGGGAUCGAAGACGAUCAGAUACCGUCGUAGUCUUAACCAUAAACUAUGCCGACUAGGGAUCGGAUGAUGUUAAUUUUUUAAUGACUCAUUCGGCGCCUUACG